rnacentral:misc_RNA from 1 species
GAUGAAGAACGUAGCGAAAUGCGAUACUUGGUGUGAAUUGCAGAAUCCCGUGAACCAUCGAGUCUUUGAACGCAAGUUGCGCCCGAAGCCAUUAGGCCGAGGGCACGCCUGCCUGGGCGCCACACGUCGUUGCCCCCCCAUCUACUCCUUCGGGAUUGCGGGGGGCGGAUGAUGGCCUCCCGUGCGCCUCGCCGCGCGGUUGGCAUAAAUGCCAAGUCCUCGGCGACGCACGCCACGACAAUCGGUGGUUGCGAAACCUCGGUUGCCCGUCGUGUGCGGUCGUCGCGCAUCGAGGGCUCGAAAAAAUUGCCGGGUUCCGGCUCGGCUUUCAACGCGACCCCAGGUCAGGCGGGGUUACCCACUGAAUUUAAGCAUAUCAAUAAGCGGAGGA